rnacentral:rRNA from 1 species
UGAGCAAUCUGCCCUUCACAUCGGAAUAACCAUUGGAAACGACGUCUAAUGCCGAAUACGACCUCCUUUCGCAUGAUCGGAGGUGGAAAGCUCCGGCGGAGAAGGAUGAGCUCGCGGCCUAUCAGCUUGUUGGUGGGGUAGUGGCCUACCAAGGCGACGACGGGUAGCCGGCCUGAGGAGGGUGACCGGCCACACGUGGGACUGAGACACGGCCCAGACCUCCGUACGGGAGGCAGCG